GUUGAAAUUCACCAGUUCAAUAUCUGCCAGUUCUAAAAUUAGCAAAGAAGAAAUGUCUGUCUUUUCAUGUGCUAAAACAACAUGGCCUGGUUCACAUAGUAGCCGGAGAUCCACCAGUAGUGUGCAUAGGAUGGCAACCUAAAGGCAGCCUAAGCAACAGUGCCCAAAGGAGGAAUGGAGAAGGAGGGAGAAGAAGAAAAAAGAGCUUCUUCCAGCACAUGUACCACUACCUUGAUAAUUGUGUGGAAUGCAAUCACGUGAGUGUAAUGAACACCUUUUGGCUAGGAUGUGUGACAUCACCAAUGAGUGCCAAACAUCAGCAGUGCUAUCCGUCCCCACUUCUCUUCCCUAUGCAGUUGUACCCUGCUAUUCAAUAAAACUUUUCCAUUUG